rnacentral:rRNA from 1 species
GAUUGAACGCUGGCGGCAUGCCUUACACAUGCAAGUCGAACGGCAGCACGGGGGCAACCCUGGUGGCGAGUGGCGAACGGGUGAGUAAUACAUCGGAACGUGUCCUGUAGUGGGGGAUAGCCCGGCGAAAGCCGGAUUAAUACCGCAUACGACCUAAGGGAGAAAGCGGGGGAUCUUCGGACCUCGCGCUAUAGGGGCGGCCGAUGGCAGAUUAGCUAGUUGGUGGGGUAAAGGCCUACCAAGGCGACGAUCUGUAGCUGGUCUGAGAGGACGACCAGCCACACUGGGACUGAGACACGGCCCAGACUCCUACGGGAGGCAGCAGUGGGGAAUUUUGGACAAUGGGGGCAACCCUGAUCCAGCAAUGCCGCGUGUGUGAAGAAGGCCUUCGGGUUGUAAAGCACUUUUGUCCGGAAAGAAAACCAUUGCCCUAAUAUGGUGGUGGGAUGACGGUACCGGAAGAAUAAGCACCGGCUAACUACGU